rnacentral:rRNA from 1 species
UACGCACGCUGGCGGCGUGCUUAACACAUGCAAGUCGAACGGAAAGGCCCUGCUUUUGUGGGGUGCUCGAGUGGCGAACGGGUGAGUAACACGUGAGUAACCUGCCCUUGACUUUGGGAUAACUUCAGGAAACUGGGGCUAAUACCGGAUAGGAGCUCCUGCUGCAUGGUGGGGGUUGGAAAGUUUCGGCGGUUGGGGAUGGACUCGCGGCUUAUCAGCUUGUUGGUGGGGUAGUGGCUUACCAAGGCUUUGACGGGUAGCCGGCCUGAGAGGGUGACCGGCCACAUUGGGACUGAGAUACGGCCCAGACUCCUACGGGAGGCAGCAGUGGGGAAUAUUGCACAAUGGGCGGAAGCCUGAUGCAGCAACGCCGCGUGCGGUAUGACGGCCUUCGGUUUGUAAACCGCUUUCGCCUGUGACGAAGCGUGAGUGACGGUAAUGGGUAAAGAAGCACCGGCUAACUACGUG